rnacentral:misc_RNA from 1 species
GAUGAAGAACGCAGCGAAAUGCGAUAAGUAAUGUGAAUUGCAGAAUUCAGUGAAUCAUCGAAUCUUUGAACGCACAUUGCGCCCAUUAGUAUUCUAGUGGGCAUGCCUGUUCGAGCGUCAUUUCAACCCUUAAGCCUAGCUUAGUAUUGGGAAUCGACUUUACUGUCGUUCCUCAAAUUCAACGGCGGAUUUAUAGCAAUCUCUGAACGUAGUAAUUUUUUUUCUCGUUUUUGAAAUACUAUAAACCUCAGCCGCUAAACCCCCAAUUUCUUAUGGUUGACCUCGGAUCAGGUAGGAAUACCCGCUGAAUUUAAGCAUAUCAAUAAGCGGAGGA